UCUUCUGCCUAAUUCACAUGGCUGAGGUAGGCAAGGCUGGGGAGUUGCAAGCGGUAGGGGUUUGUUGGGUGGGCUGAGGAGAGUACAGGGAGCAGCCUGGGGCUCACUAGCCUGAGUGAGAGGCCUGGCUGUACGACACCCAGCCUGCACCUCCUGGGACAGGGUAAGGCUCCUAAUCCCAGCUCCCCAGUUCAGGCAAGACUGAGGAGCCUGCCAAAGCAACUCUUCCCCAUCCCAGCAGUGGAGGGAGACAGCAGG
rnacentral:lncRNA from 1 species